CGCCUGUUUAUCAAAAACAUCUUUUCUUGUUAGUUUUUGAAGUAUGGCCUGCCCACUGAUUUUAGGUUGAAGGGCCGCGGUAUUUUGACCGUGCAAAGGUAGCAUAAUCAUUAGUUCUUUAAUUGUGAUCUGGUAUGAAUGGCUUGACGAGGCAUGGGCUGUCUUGGAUUGGGAUUGUUUAUUGAAUUUGGUUUUUGAGUUAGAAUUCUUAAAUGUUUUUAUGGGACGAGAAGACCCUAUAGAGUUUAACAUUUAUUUGUAUAGCUUGUUUUGGUUUGUUUUGUAGUUGCUUUGUGUUAGUGUUUUGUUGGGGUGAUGGGAAGAAUUUUCUUAACUCUUCUUUAUUUUGGUAUAUUGAUUUAUAUUGGUUUUGAUCCAUUUAUUUUGAUUAUAAGAUUAAAUUACCUUAGGGAUAACAGCGUAAA
rnacentral:rRNA from 1 species